GWGAMGCUGGCGGCGUGCUUAACACAUGCAAGUCGAACGGAAAGGCYCMUGCUUGCUKGGGUGCUCGAGUGGCGAACGGGUGAGUAACACGUGGGUGAUCUGCCCUGCACUUCGGGAUAAGCCUGGGAAACUGGGUCUAAUACCGGAUAGGACUACUUCUUGGAUGUUGUGGUGGAAAGUUUUWYGGUGUGGGMKGAGCUCGCGGCCUAUCAGCUUGKUGGUGGGGUAAUGGCCUAMCAAGGCGUCGACGGGUAGCCSGCCUGAGAGGGUGUACGGCCACAUUGGGACUGAGAUACGGCCCARACUCCUACGGGAGGCAGCAGUGUGGAAUAUUGCACAAUGGGCGCAAGCCUGAUGCAGCGACSCCGCGUGGGGGAUGACGGCCUUCGGGUUGUAAACUCCUUUCGCCAAGGACSAAGCGKUUUGUGACGGUMCUUGAGAAGAAGCACCGGCUAACUACGUGCCAGCAGCCGCGGUAWWAYGUAGGGKGCGAGCGUUGYCCGGAAUUACUGGGGCGUAAAGAGCCYGUAGGKGGUUUGYCSCGUCUUUUGKGGAAUACCGGGGCC
rnacentral:rRNA from 1 species